UUAACUGCAAAUUACUAAAACGGGAAUGGUGAUUUCCUACUGAAAGACUACCCGAAGUUUGAGAAUGUUAAAAGUGGAGAGGGAGGGACAGCUUUGAAGUUGUGCCACCUUUAUCCUUUUGGGAUCUGACCCGUCAAACAGUAAGCCUGGCGUUUUUCUGGUCCCUCAGCGAUUAACCAAGGCACAUUCGCACUGUCCAUAGACUGCAUAAUAUUUCUCAUAUUUAUUUGUACCCGUCUAAUAUUGAUAUUAGUGCAAUAAUUUAAUAGUGAUAAAUGUGGCAAGUUGUAUUUGUUAAAUUCCACAGAUCACGUCAUCGUCAAUUAAAUUAGUUAUUUGGGUUGAUGAAGGAGGAUGUAUCAGUCUGGUGAAAUUACCCGGAACUGGGUGUGUUUACUUUGGACGAAGCAAAUAAACAGAAAUUGAAACCGAAUCUUUUGGAGAGAGCCCGACUCAGGACAAGCAGAAGCUUCGGGUUUCUUUCACCUUGCGGCGUUGUGCAUCGACUCACGCAAAUGUAAUCGCCGCUUUACCGACGCUACAGUUGUCAACCUGUAUCUUAGAACGAAUAAAACUAGAAUUGCAGUGGAAGUACACGUUUUAAGAUGAAGAAAAACUCAGAUUAACCUCUCCUGUUUGGACAAAGGCUAAAUACUUGAAGGCGUUGGAGUUACCCGCGUCCCGAAUAUUGGAACCCAUGCGUUGGCUUCUUGACACCGAUGAAUAACGAGAAAUGAAAGGUGAUACGUUAUAUUUUAUAUAACAGAACAUAAAUGGAUGCAGAGCUUGCCAUCCCUUCUACUAAUUAAGGACACAGCCCUUUUUUUUGCUUGCCGGCUAAGAGGCCGUUUCAGAGUAAUUAUAAAACAAGCGACAGCGAUCAACAAACAGAGCGUCCAUGUGAACCAUCUCGGCGCAAACACAAAUCUUCACACACUGGGAAACGCUGGAAAUGGAACCGUGGUGGCAGUAGACACGGAUUAAUUUAUGGAGAUUUGCAGAAAAAUAAUAGAAAUCGAGCAAGUGCAGUCUGAAGACAAAUUAUUCUAACCUCUGUAAUGAUUUGAUAAUCGACCCAUAUUAUUUUAAUGUGCUUUAUAUUAUGACGUUAUUAUAUGUUAAAAGUUUUAAUUAAUUUAAAUAUCCUUGUGAAGUAAGUGGGUCAAGUUUACACAUCGAAAUGUCAGACAUGUCACAUCAUCUGUUAAAAGAAAUGUUACCCAAUAAAGUCAUGUUAAAACGGCGUUUUAUCCGUCCUGCAUGUUACUUUUGGAAGUUUGCGGCGAGGGCGGCGGAACGAACAACCUGGGCUCUCUGCCUCUAGAGAGGGGUAGUCUUUCAGUUUCAGUAUUCGCGGUCACAGAAUGCAGAUAUUCUUUCGAUCUCGUUGUCAAAAAAAUCGAGGGACAACUAUUGUAAACUAUAUCGAUCAAACGUUGUUCUUUACACGCGAAUAAAGUUGCUUCUACGCUG